UGUCUUUGAAAGAGCAAUGAACAGCUCCUUUUAGACGGUUAAUACUGCUAAUAUUUUUGUACAAAAUUGUUUUAUCACUGGUGUAAUCUAAUUAAUAUGUGCUUUAUUAAUAGAAAUUUGCAUCUUACGAAACACAAAAAAUGGAUGCACGAAAUUGCUAAUUAAAUCAAAGUGACAAUAAGUGAAUUAUGCUCAGAGUCAGUGCCAGCUCUAGGUAGAAGCUGGAGAAGCAUGUUUAGGCCAUUUCUCUUUGAAAGCUUUAGCAACUCAGUGCUUAAUGUUAAAAGUUGACUGCUAGAGAUGUAAAGUUCAAGCUUCUUUCUAGUCAUUAACUUUUUGUUUUGGAGGAAAUUCUAAAUUUACCACAAACUUGAUACCAGUUUCCAAAUUUACUUUUAAAUGAUGAUCAUUUCACAAAUACUCUAAAUUUGUGAUGAAUAAAACUAAACAAAUUCUUUUAAAUCAUUUAUAAAUAUAACCCAACUACACCCCUUAAGUACUAAACCUUAACCAAUAAUCACUAAAUCCUAAACACAAAUGUUAAAAUAUUUUUGAUUAACAGUAUUUUUUUU
rnacentral:lncRNA from 1 species